rnacentral:rRNA from 1 species
GUGCCAGCAGCCGCGGUAAUACGUGGGGUGCAAGCGUUGUUCGGAAUUACUGGGCGUAAAGCGCGUGUAGGUGGCUAAUUAUGUCAGGUGUGAAAGCCCUCGGCCUAACUGAGGAAGUGCGCCUGAAACUGAUUGGCUUGAGUACGAGAGAGGAGGACGGAAUUCCCAGUGUAGAGGUGAAAUUCGUAGAUAUUGGGAGGAACACCGGCGGCGAAAGCGGUUCUCUGGAUCGAUACUGACACUAAGACGCGAAAGCGUGGGUAGCAAACAGGAUUAGAUACCCUGGUAGUCC